AUGUGUUAGACCAAAUGGGGACG
rnacentral:piRNA from 1 species